AUUGAACGCUGGCGGCAUGCUUUACACAUGCAAGUCGAACGGUAACAGGUUAAGCUGACGAGUGGCGAACGGGUGAGUAAUGCAUCGGAACGUGCCCGGUCGUGGGGGAUAACGCAGCGAAAGCUGCGCUAAUACCGCAUACGAUCUGAGGAUGAAAGCGGGGGACCGUAAGGCCUCGCGCGAUCGGAGCGGCCGAUGUCAGAUUAGGUAGUUGGUGGGGUAAAGGCUCACCAAGCCGACGAUCUGUAGCUGGUCUGAGAGGACGACCAGCCACACUGGGACUGGGACACGUCCCAGACUCCUACGGGAGUCAGCAGUGGGGAAUUUUGGACAAUGGGCGCAAGCCUGAUCCAGCAAUGCCGCGUGCAGGAAGAAGGCCUUCGGGUUGUAAACUGCUUUUGUACGGAGCGAAAAGGCUCUCUCUAAUACAGGGGGUUCAUGACGGUACCGUAAGAAUAAGCACCGGCUAACUACGUGCCAGCCGCCGCGGUAAUAC
rnacentral:rRNA from 1 species